AAUCAACGCUGGCGGCGUGCCUCAGACAUGCAAGUCGAACGCGAAAGUUCCCUUCGGGGAGCAAGUAGAGUGGCGCACGGGUGAGUAACACGUAGGUAAUUUGCCUUCGGGUGGGGAAUAACAGUCGGAAACGACUGCUAAUACCGCAUAAUGCAGCGGCUCGACAUCGAGACAGUUGUUAAAGCGGGGGAUCCUUCGGGACCUCGCGCCUGAAGAGAAGCCUGCGGCAGAUUAGCUAGUUGGUGAGGUAAUGGCCCACCAAGGCUACGAUCUGUAACCGGCCUGAGAGGGCGGUCGGUCACACUGACACUGACAUACGGGUCAGACUCCUACGGGAGGCAGCAGUCGGGAAUUUUGGGCAAUGGGCGCAAGCCUGACCCAGCAACGCCGCGUGAAGGAUGAAAUUUUUCGGAAUGUAAACUUCGCAAGAACGGGAAG
rnacentral:rRNA from 1 species